CUGCAUCAUGUCGCGGUGCGGCGCGAGCUUCGGACGUUCGCACACCACAGCGGCAUCGACAUUUCCCGGUUCGAAACCGGCGGCGCGGAC
rnacentral:tRNA from 1 species